rnacentral:rRNA from 1 species
GUGACCCCAGGAUGGGCGAGGCCACCCGCUGAGUUUAAGCAUAUCAAUAAGCGGAGGAAAAAAAACCUUACA